CCUGUGGUUCUCUCCACUGACUCCGAAUCAGUCUUUAAUGGGCCCUCCAAGGGUGCCUUCGUUCAAGCGUUCAAGUGGUGAUCCAGGUGGAGGUGUCGCCCUCUAGAGGUAGUCCAACUCCAGUGCGUGGCUCAGAGCUUCCAGGUCUGCCCGGCAGGACACCCUCCAGAACGGCAUGUUCUUCUGAGAAAACGUCACGAUGCUGUUAGUCCGGUUGCUGUCACGUCCUCAGCUGUCCUACAGAGACAAAACAACCGACAACCAUCAGCACUCAGCAUCUCCAUCAACGGACUGACAAGGUGACUUGUGCUCAUGCCAUAUGGAAGCCCACCUGGAGGUCUCCAUUUGGACAGACUGUCUACGGGUGGGGUUGGAUGUGGAGGGUGAGGGGAGGUUCGGAACACUAUCAUUGUGUUUCCUGGUGGGACGUUGCGAAAACUGAUGGUUCAACAACGUGAUUAAUAAUAUCAUAAUUAAUUAGAUCUCUGUGUGGAGUUUGCAUGUUCUCCCCAUGCAUGCGUGGGUUUUCUCCGGGUACUCCGGUUUCCUCCCACAUUCCAAAAACAUGCUAGGUUAAUUGGCGACUCCAAAUUGUCCAUAGGUAUGAAUGUGAGUGUGAAUGGUUGUUUGUCUAUAUGUGCCCUGUGAUUGGCCGAAGACAGCUGGGAUAGGCUCCAGCACCCUCUGUGACCCUUAUGAGGAUAAGUGGUAAAAAAAAUGAAUGAAUGAAUUGCUACUGGGGUCUCUUCCUCGUAAAAGUUCUCACUUUGAUUUGUUUGUGAAAAUUAUAGAAUAAAGUUUUUUGCUCACUUUUCCAAAUGCAUCAAUCCCAAUUAUGCCAAUUUGACAAUCCCAUCAUCAUCCC